GCCCUCGAAGUCCGACAGGACGGACGCCGGUUUCCUAAGCCGGAGGGUGCGAGUUCAAGUCUCGCCGAGGGCACCA
rnacentral:tRNA from 1 species